rnacentral:rRNA from 1 species
UACGGGGGGAGCAAGCGUUGUUCGGAAUUACUGGGCGUAAAGGGCUCGUAGGCGGCCAACUAAGUCAGACGUGAAAUCCCUCGGCUUAACCGGGGAACUGCAUCUGAUACUGGAUGGCUUGAGUUCGGGAGAGGGAUGCGGAAUUCCAGGUGUAGCGGUGAAAUGCGUAGAUAUCGGGAGGAACACCAAUGGCGAAGGCAGCUCGCUGGGACGUUACUGACGCUGAGACGCGAAAGCGUGGGGAGCAAACAGG